rnacentral:misc_RNA from 1 species
ACUGAGGCAAGUGCCCUUGAUGAUACCAAAAUUUGAAGAAAUGAGUAAUAAACUUGGAAUAACCACCCAGACGAGCAGGCGCAAUAAAGAGGCAUUUUGCGUAAAACACAAGAAAUGUUUUUUAGGUGGAUUAAGAGGUGUAGUUCCAGUAAGUGUGUACUCAAAGAUCAAGGUUGGUAUCAUCAAGGGCACUUGCCUCAGU